rnacentral:tRNA from 1 species
GCGAGAGUAAUUCAGCGGUAGAAUGCCAGCUUCCCAAGCUGGACGUCGCGGGUUCGAUCCCCGUCUCUCGCU